AUGCUUUACACAUGCAAGUCGAACGGCAGCACGGGAGCUUGCUCCCGGUGGCGAGUGGCGAACGGGUGAGUAAUGCGUCGGAACGUACCGAGUAAUGGGGGAUAACGCGGCGAAAGUUGUGCUAAUACCGCAUACGCCCUGAGGGGGAAAGUGGGGGAUCGUAAGACCUCACGUUAUUCGAGCGGCCGACGUCUGAUUAGCUAGUUGGUGGGGUAAAGGCCUACCAAGGCGACGAUCAGUAGCGGGUCUGAGAGGAUGAUCCGCCACACUGGGACUGAGACACGGCCCAGACUCCUACGGGAGGCAGCAGUGGGGAAUUUUGGACAAUGGGGGCAACCCUGAUCCAGCCAUUCCGCGUGAGUGAAGAAGGCCUUCGGGUUGUAAAGCUCUUUCAGCUGGAACGAAACGGUACGCGCUAACAUCGUGUGCUAAUGACGGUACCAGCAGAAGAAGCACCGGCUAACUACGUGCCGGCAGCCGCGGUAAUACGUAGGGUGCGAGCGUUAAUCGGAAUUACUGGGCGUAAAGCGUGCGCAGGCGGAUUGUUAAGCAAGAUGUGAAAUCCCCGGGCUUAACCUGGGAAUGGCAUUUUGAACUGGCAGUCUAGAGUGUGUCAGAGGGGGGUGGAAUUCCACGUGUAGCAGUGAAAUGCGUAGAGAUGUGGAGGAACACCGAUGGCGAAGGCAGCCCCCUGGGAUAACACUGACGCUCAUGUACGAAAGCGUGGGUAGCAAACAGGAUUAGAUACCCUGGUAGUCCACGCCCUAAACGAUGUCAACUGGUUGUUGGGGGAGUGAAAUCCCUUAGUAACGAAGCUAACGCGUGAAGUUGACCGCCUGGGGAGUACGGUCGCAAGAUUAAAACUCAAAUGAAUUGACGG
rnacentral:rRNA from 1 species